ensembl:snRNA U6 U6 spliceosomal RNA
GUGCUUGCUUCGGCAGCACAUACACUAAAAUUGGAACGAUACAGAGAGAUUAGCAUGGCCCCUGCACAAGGAUGACACGCAAAUUCAUGACACGUUCCAUAUUUUA